AUGCACGCGUACGCAUGCGUGUUAAGGUGUCUAAACGUGUGUGUGCCAGGUUUGCGAUUGACUGGCUCCAGAUCCACCCUCGUAUUAGCACAUGCAGGAAGUUUGUCAUGGGCCCUCUGCUGUGCCAGAGCUCAUUUGGUUCGAUAUGAAAUUUAUCACAGAUGUUCCUCUUCCCUAACCAGGCCUGGCUGCCAGAGACUACAAACAAAAGACUCGUCCCUGCACACAGAUAAAAACCAAAAAGCAGAAACUAACAGAUUGCAGUCCUCUGUUUGCAAAGUGUCAGAGGGAGUGAUGCGCUGGGACGAGCGCCACAGCCGCCUGCUGAUUUACUGGCUUCCAUUUCCACUGGUGUAAAGUCAAUCUCUGUGGAAGGUCAGCAGCCCCUGCGUGCACAUUAGCGUGUUUUAAUCCCCAUCCGUCAGGACAGGCCAGCACCACGCUGGAGGGUGCUGGAAUACACAGAGGAGACUUUCUGGGAAGUGGAGACAUGUGGAUACACACACUUCUUCCUUGUGCGAUUUCUUAACCCCUCAUUAUAUUCUCAUUUCAUUAUAACAUACGGAGGGAGAGACUCAACAAAGGUCCCCGGGCCAGAGUCGAACUGGGAUGUUGCGGGUUGUGGCCGGUGUCUUAGUCACAGGGGUAUGCACAUUUCAGUUGCUUUUAUUCCACUUCGACUGUGCUGAAUGGACUUAAUGUAUCAUUGUCAACCAGGACAGGUGUGAUCUGAUUAACAUUGCUCAAUAUCUACCACACGUGGAUGUAAUACCGAUGCCAAGUUCUUUUUUUUUGCUUGUGAAAUUACAAACUCCUCACAUAUGCCAGCCAAUACAGUACACCGUAUUGUUUUAUUUAUUGUCCUGCUGAAUAUUUUAUAAGCAUAUUGUGCAGUUCAAACACAGAUUACACCAUGAAUGGCUUGCCAAGAGCUCCUUCCAAGUGGUUUAAUUGUGUUGUCUAAUUCUGCAGAAAAACGAGUGUUGGGUAUCGUUUGGGUUUUUUCAUACCAGUGCUAAAGGAUACUUUUAAAACCGCUACCUAAACAAGGCCUGAAAUGAUACUUUAAAAAAAAACAGAAGCAAAAAUGGCGGUUGAAGACGUUGAAGAAGUCUUUUUUUUUUUAUUGAUACAGCAACUUUAAACUUGAAAUUGAACAACCCCCCCCCCCGCGCUUUCACGUGCCAUAUGUUUUUUUUCCCCUUUACAUGCAUUGAUUUUCAAACAGUUAUUGCAUGUCUUGCAUGGUGCCUGAAUCCUUUUGAGCGAAAUAUAGACUGUUUAGCUUGGCAUUUUAACUGUGUUUAAGGUAGCUACUGGCUAGCGGUAGGCUACCUGCUGCCAGAGCCACGUAGAAAGAGUGUUGCUAGCAAUGUGUGUACGCUGAUACCUCUGAUACCUAUAAUGUCGCCACCAGAGGACAACUAUUCCAAUAGACAACUUUGGUACUGAAACAAGGUACAGAAACCCAGUAUUAAAUGGGUUUUGGGGCUAAAUUAUUAAAGACCAUAGUAAGCUCCAACAUUAAUGGUUCUGCUGUCAGUAUUGGAGAAAUUAAGACAGUAGAUACUGGUUGUAUAUGGCACCGUUUUUUGGUACCUAACCCGAAAGAAGUAUUAUGCUUGCACUUAGUUAGUGGGUCUGAUCUGCUUGAUAUUGAAUGUUGAAAGAACAAGAAGGAAAUAAAAAAAAUCACUUAAUGGGGCUAAUAACAUCUUGGUGAGACUAUAAGGCCCCUUGCACUAAACUUCUGGUGUUCUGAUGUAUAAUUCUGAAUUUUGUACAUGGUUUAAUUUUCCAAACAGUACCUUUUUAAAUAUUCUUUGGCCUUUUAUUGCCUUUGAUUGAUAGUGAUAGCUGAGGAGUGACAGGAAAAGGGAAGAGAUAGAGAGGGGAUGACAUGCAGCACUCCUGUUUUGGCACUGGCUUACAGUAUGUUUUAGAAUUUAUUUUAAGAUUUUACUGAUUACUUUUAAGGAAUAAAAAUAGCAGGGGAAGAGGCUACAUGGCCUCUUCCCCUGCUUCCCCCUAUUUCUCAGACCUUUUAAUACCUUACACGCCGGCUCGUACCUUGAGACCCUCAGGCAGGGGUCUUUUGUCUCCAGUGGCCGGCUGAAAAGGAAAGGGGAGAGAGGCUUUGCAGUUGGGGCCCCGAGGCUCUGGGAACAAUCUGCCUGAGGAAAUCAGGUCAGCUGAGUUAGUUUCUCUUUUAAGUCCCUUCUUAAAACAUAUGUUCAUCUGCGAGGCUAUCCUGAUUUUGAGGAUUUCAGGGUCUUUUACUUCCUAAUUGUUUUUUCCUUGUUUUAAAUUGAUGAUUUAUUUAUUUAUUUUCAGGACACCCCAUUUUCCAAACAAUACCUGUACAAAUUAUAUUUUUAAGCAACAAUUAUUGUUUUGUUGUUUUUUGGCCACGUGGAGGCAGCAGUAUGUCGUUGAUGUUAUGGCGAAAGUGUUGUGUUUGUGUCCACCUGAUGAAUCUAAGUCCAAUAUUCACUCUCCUCCCGCUAUAUUUUUAGUCUCUUCUAACUCCUCUGGGAAAUAUCUGGCUCUUAAGCUGCUAAAUGCUUCACUAUCUUCACCAUCGUGAUUCUGUUGUCAGGUUACAGCUGUUUUGCCAGCUGAAAACAGCCACCUUCUAUGGCUGAAAACAAGCUUGAUGAAAGUGGUGAGGCUGAACUAAAGCAGUCACAGCAAAAGUGAGCUGAAAGAUGUUAAAACAGUUUGUAGAGAAACUACAGGUGAGAAUUCUGUCUGGGUUAGUCAUUAUGACAGACCCCCUUUCACGUUACAUAUGUUUUGGCAAAAGAAAUCGCUCAGUGCAGCUUUUAAAAAUGACUUCCAAAUGACUUUGGCGUGUUUUACUUUCUUUUUGACUCUAUCUUUCAGGGACUUUUGCCUGUGAUCGUUGUCAUAAUCUUGGCGCGUCUUCACAUUACAUAAAAGUGGACAGAGUGGGCUGGACAAAUCUGGUUUGCAGUUGUUGUGAGGGCCAAAACUUGGUGCCAGUCUACAGUCUUGAAUCAUUUCAGAGCACCAGAUAUUGUGGGAUGUUUCUUCGUUGUGAUGUGUGCUUUAUUCCCUAUCAAUACCCAAUAAGUCUGAUUCCCAGAAGCUGUGUGUCAGUUUUUUACCUCUUCGUGUGUCUCUCCCCCUCUCUGCCAUCCUGUCUGUGCCUCCUAAAUACAGACUGAUUGAGUGUCUGACCAAUUGAUUGAUUGGUGUCUAAGAAGGCUCUUUUUCAUUGCAAACUAUAAUGAUUGGCUCCUCUCUUACUCUCAUUCCAUCUUUAUGACCACCCACCUUUACAAAAGCAUCUGUCUUUCUCUUUUUCUGUAUGUCUCUCCUUGUCUUUUUCUACCUCUUUCUCAUCCACACAAACACACACACACUCCCUCCUCUUAGUCUGUUACUGAUUGUCUUCUAUAGGCUGCGGGCUCACAGUCUGCCUGGCUCCUGAAGGACGAGAGCAGUAGACAGGUAAUUUUUUAAUCUCCCCUCCAUCUCCGAGCCUUUUUACUCCAUUCUCU
rnacentral:lncRNA from 15 species